rnacentral:rRNA from 1 species
AGAGUUUAAUCAUGGCUCAGGACGAACGCUGGCGUCGUGCCUAACACAUGCAAGUCGAGCGGAGACAGUGAGUAGCUUGCUAUGAGCUGUUUUAGCGGCGGACGGGUGAGUAACGCGUGAGCAACCUUUCCCAGACAGGGGAAUAACACACCGAAAGGUGUACUAAUACCGCAUAAGACCACGGGAUCACAUGGUUCUGGGGUAAAAGAUUUAUCGGUUUGGGGUGGGCUCGCGUCCGAUUAGGUAGUUGGUGAGGUAACGG